GGGGAAAAAAGUUAGUAAAAAGUUAAUGUAUGCUUCUUUGCUUGCAGUUGUUGAGAUGAAUUGCAAUAAUAAAAUCAUGGAUAACUACAAUGAAUAAACGUGGAGGUAAUGUUAGGCUCCAAAGGGACCAAAACCCAUUUCAAGUUCAGCUCAACUCAACUCCUCCAAUGGAGAUCAAGAAGCUUAGCUUUUAUGCGAAGAAUGAUGGUAAGGGCACGUGUGAAGGUGGAGCGUAAGGAGAGAGUCCCAAAGUAGCAGGAAGCUAAGGGGGGAUAGUCUCUGCACUGCUUUUGAUAUGGACGGGACUGUUAUGCAGCAGUGAAGAACCUUAUAGAACGGAAACCGCGGAUGUUUUCGCUGAUAUGGGUGUUGAAGUCAUAACGGAGGAUUUCGUGCCGUUCAUACGGGCACAGCAUUCCCAGGUGCCCUUGAACUCAUUACUCAGGUGAUAGAACCAAUUGUUUGAUAAUUGCCUCAGUCAGUGAGACUACAUGAAGUCAUUAAUAAUAUAACGGCGAUGUAACACUGCAAAGAGAGAGGUUUGAAAGUUGCGGUUGCUGGGUUGCCAUUGUCGAUGUAAGAUAAUCUAUCAUGAUUUAUGCAUUGAAGUCCAUGAGAUAUCUGUCUGUAAUGCUUCCUUGUGCUUUAUCUUAACACAAAAUCUUGUUUAGUCUAAAGCAGAAACUUUUCUGGAAUACAUUUCAGUCACAUCAUGAUGUUUCCUUGGCAUCCAAUGUCCAUGUCACCAUUUGUAUACCCGUUUCUUUUUGUCAAAUUAUUGUGGAUGUUGUAGAGAAAUUGUGGAUUACAUGAAAACCUGCCUCUACAAAGUCUUUUUUUUUUCUUAAUAAAAGAAUGAUAUAUUAAUGCUUUUGCAAAUUUAUCCAAUACAUCCGUGCUGCUGUAGAUAGUUGGAAAAUGUUCUGAUGUGCUGGUUUGAACUUUGAAUGUUGGUCAGAACACAAUCAAGUUGAAAGACUUGAGAGUAUGGGGCUUGUUGAUAUUAUAGUGUUUUGCAUGAGUAUAGUCUGCCUCCCAGACUCCAUAGGUCUAACCCUCAAUUGAUUUUAAAGAUUUGAGAUAUGAUUGUAUCUUUCACCAUGCUAGUAUUGGAGAACUUAUAUUCUUAUUAUUUUGUUAGCCUUCUAUCACGUUCGAUGCAAUUUGUGUCAGCAGAUGCUUUUGAGAAUUUGAAACCAGCUCCUGACAUUUUCUUGGCUGUAUCUAGGAUCUUGAAUGUGCCAGUAGUGAGACAUACUAUAUUGUUUGCAAUUUCAUUCUGUCUAUUAAGUUGCUAGAACUUUUGAUGCAGAAAUUAUUGUAAAUCAUAAAAAUUAUGAAAGCAACUCACAGAUUUUCUAUUAUGCAUUUCUUUUGUGCAAGUUAUUCAUAAUAAUUGUGGCAAAGUACGUUAUUCAUAACAGAGACACAAUUCAAGAGAAUACCAAGAAAUAACUUAGUCUUAGUCAUUGACAGUUUAAUGAAUUACAAAAAACUGAAAUUUGUCAGCUUCAGCUUGUGCAUUGAUUGGACUGCUAAUAAAGCUAAUUUUUGUCAUAAAGCUAACUUUCUCCAUCAUAUUGUCGCCAUAAAGCUAGUAAAUUUUGUCAGCUGAAUUCAGUUUUUCUGUUCUUGAAAAAAAAUGAAUUUCAUAGGAUUUCUCAGAAAUCAGUUGAGUUUGCCUUUGUUUGAUUUCUAUUUUCUUAAGUAAAAUGCUUUGUUAAGUUCCUAUGAGUAUUGGGAUGAUUGUUUCGGUAUUUUUUUCCAUUAGGUGAGGUUGAGGUUUAAUCCUCAUAGAUGGAGCACGUAUGGAGCACUUUACCCCAUAUAGUGGGUGUGAAAGGAUUUAGUUUUAGUCCAAUGGGAUAAGGAUACCUGUGUUUUUUUUCAAAAAAAAAACCUUUGCUAAUUUUUGCCGUGUAUUGUUAUUGAAGAUGCACUAGCUGGAGCACAAGCUGCAAAAGCUGCAUAGAUGAGGUGAAUUUACAAAUAACUCAUGUAUUUGGUUUCAUUAGGACAUCUCUAGUGAUUAAUUCUUUCAAAAUAAGUGUGGAAAUGGGUUUCAAGAUUGUCUCAACACAGGUGAAGGCAUUAGAUUCUUUCCCUCUGUGCUAAUCUACUGCAUUUUUCACACACGUUUCACUUUUGUAUUCCAAUGAUUUCUAAUCUAUGGCAUUCUGUACUUCUUGUAGAUGCAUAGCUGUGAAAACUACAUUUUCAGAAGAGACUCUGAAGAAUGUUAGUCCAUCCCUUAUCAGAAAUGAUAGAGGAAGUGUUUCACUUUAUUAUUUUCUAAGUGGUGGAUCUGAUGUAUAUACUAUGUAGUUCCGAAGAUGUCACUUUGUACCUCAAUAAUUUGGAACAAUCCUCGUAUUUCAAUAACUCCAAGUCUCCAAAACAGGUUUUGCAAUGGAUUUCCUUUGUAUUGAGAAAUUUUCCUCCAUCAAAACUAAGGUGCUCCCUUACACAUUAGCAAUUGAGUUUACAAUUGUUGUUUUAGACUUUUAUUAAGAUAGAAAACAACGAUACAUAGUUAUUAAAAUCAAAUCUAAUGCCUUAUUAAAAUCAAAUCUAAUGCCUAAAAUAUCAAAUCUAAUGCUUAUUUGUAUUCUGCAGUUUUCAAAGCCAUCUGGAAUCAUUGAGGCUGAAAAUGGUGAUUCUCUUUCCCAUCAUAUGCAAAUGCAAUAAACAAUUUUUCACAAUAAUGAAACAUAAAAUGCGUCCCUAUUUCCUUUGUCAUUGCCCAACAUUUGCUAAUUAUUGACAGUGUUUAGCUAUAUUAUCUUUCUUAAUGAAAUAGGUUCAGUUUCAUCAAAUACAGGCCUUGCCUUUGGAGGCUACUAUGCCGAAUAAAUUCAAUCAACACCUACAAUCUAUUGACAUAUCAGUUAAAAUAAAUUGGAUGGUAUGUGAUGAUCUGAGAUCCAGAAAAUAGGGUUUUACAAUGGGUUUGUGAACUUAGGAAAAAAACUUAGACCUAGAGGGGAGUAUCUCCCCUUUUAUCUGUUUCCUCCGUCUGCUAAUGACGUAUAACAGACUGGCUAUCACUGGGCCACCUGUCCCUGCUACAUUGAUACGGAUGUAUGAGGAAAUCAGAUCCCUGCCCUGUGCGUAACGGCCUCUAAUUCUCCCUGGACACGCAUGCGGAUGGAUCGGCAAGACAGGCGGGUCGGUCUUCUUCCUGGUUCCGAACUAGUCCGGGAGAUAAGAUUAGAACUGAGUCCAAAGAGGAUCUGUUUGUUGGGCCGAAAGAGCUGAGCCGGCCUGAUUGAAGAAUCUGAUUGGAGCCUAGUCUUUAAGUUGAGCGGGCUGGAUCUGGUUCUUGGAGGAGACUUAGAAGCCUUCAGAUUAUGGGUUAUCCUAAUGAGCCUGGCCUUAGACCGGGGUGAAGAAAUCCAGCGGUCAUCAGUAUGAUGUAUAAUGCCCUUCUAUAUAAGUUGAAAAUGCAUUUUGGUUCUUGAGCCUUUCAUCUAGCCUUCUACUAGCAAUGACGUAUAACAGACUGGCUAUCACUGGGCCACCUAUCCCUGCUACAUUGAUACGGACGUACGAGGAAAUCAGAUCCCUGCCCUGUGCGUAACGGCCUCUGAUUCUCCCUGGACACGCAUGCGGAUGGACCAGCAAGACAGGCGAGUCGGUCUUCUUCCUGGUUCCGAACUAGUCCGGGAGAUAAGAUUAGAACUGAGCCCAAAGAGGAUCUGUUUGUUGGGCCGAAAGAGCUGAGCCGGCCUGAUUGAAGAAUCUGACUGGAGCCUAGUCUUUAAGUUGAGUGGGCUGGAUUUGGUUCUUGGAGGAGACUUAGAAGCCUUCAGAUUAUGAGUUAUCCUAAUGAGCCUGACCUUAGACCGGGGUGAAGAAAUCCAGCAAUCAUCAGUAUGAUGUAUAAUGCCCUUCUAUAUAAGUUGAAAAUGCAUUUUGGUUCUUGAGCCUUUCAUUCUAGCCUUCUACUAGCAAUGAACACGCGUUGAAGGCUCUUCUUGAUUAUUUGCAGGAAGACUUAUUAGCUGAUACGAACAUCUGUGUUUUUUGAUAUUUAGUCUUGAACAAGAAAGAAGAUGAACUUCUUACUUUGUAGCUGUAAGGAGUUCAGCCUCCAACACUAAAAAUCCAAUCCUGGAAACGUCUCAGGACGGGAUCAUCUGCUGAAACACAGACUAUUACAAUUGAUGGCAGUUCAUCUAGGGAAAGAGACCUUUAUUUCACAAUUUAAUUACCUAAUGAGUACCAUUUUUCAAAGGUCAAUGGACCAACCUUUUUGAAUAGAGUCCUAUAUUAUGCUCCUGCUAUUGCCAUAUGAUUAGUGAUCUGAUCCUUUUAUAUUUACUAAUUUGCCAUAUUAAACAAUUUCCAUGCGAGUUAAAUGCAGGAGGCACACAGUAAGUUUAUAUGAUUCCCUUCUGUUUGAAGUAUCGUUUGAAGAAAGUUUCAGACUCUACGCCAUUACAAAUCACACUUGCUUAUGUUAUGGACCCAAAGCAUUAACAAACAGCUUGCAGCUGCCAGUUAGCCGCUGACAGAAAUGCUGCAAAAAUACAUUAGAAGGCCAACAUGAGAAGGUUUAAGCUAGCCACAAAGUAUAGUUCAUAAAAACAUUUUCAUUACUGAAUUAAUAGCAAUAUAUGCAGCAGAUUGAAGUUUAGGAUGACCAAGUUCGGAAUAAAUCGAAAACUGAAAUUUUAGUAUUUGUAAAAAUUGAAUCGAAUAUUUUUUUUUUUUAUGUUUGGCAUAUGCAAAGGGAUCGGUAGCAAUAAUUAUUUGGUUAAUUAUUGUUAUUGUUAUUUUUGUUAUUUUAAAGGAAGAAAAGGACAGAUUAGCCCCUA